GAUGAACGCUGGCGGCGUGCUUAACACAUGCAAGUCGAACGGAAAGGCCGAAGCUUGCUUCGGUACUCGAGUGGCGAACGGGUGAGUAACACGUGGGUGAUCUGCCCUGCACUUUGGGAUAAGCCUGGGAAACUGGGUCUAAUACCAGAUAGGACCACGUCUUGGAUGGUGUGGUGGAAAGUUUUUUCGGUGUGGGAUGAGCUCGCGGCCUAUCAGCUUGUUGGUGGGGUAAUGGCCUACCAAGGCGUCGACGGGUAGCCGGCCUGAGAGGGUGUACGGCCACAUUGGGACUGAGAUACGGCCCAGACUCCUACGGGAGGCAGCAGUGGGGAAUAUUGCACAAUGGGCGCAAGCCUGAUGCAGCGACGCCGCGUGGGGGAUGACGGCCUUCGGGUUGUAAACUCCUUUCGCCAGGGACGAAGCGUCAGUGACGGUACCUGGAUAAGAAGCACCGGCUAACUACGUGCCAGCAGCCGCGGUAAUACGUAGGGUGCGAGCGUUGUCCGGAAUUACUGGGCGUAAAGAGCUCGUAGGUGGUUUGUCGCGUCGUUUGUGUAAUACCGCAGCUUAACUGCGGGGUUGCAGGCGAUACGGGCAUAACUUGAGUGCUGUAGGGGAGACUGGAAUUCCUGGUGUAGCGGUGGAAUGCGCAGAUAUCAGGAGGAACACCGAUGGCGAAGGCAGGUCUCUGGGCAGUAACUGACGCUGAGGAGCGAAAGCAUGGGUAGCGAACAGGAUUAGAUACCCUGGUAGUCCAUGCCGUAAACGGUGGGCGCUAGGUGUGAGUCCCUUCCACGGGGUUCGUGCCGUAGCUAACGCAUUAAGCGCCCCGCCUGGGGAGUACGGCCGCAAGGCUAAAACUCAAAGGAAUUGACGGGGGCCCGCACAAGCGGCGGAGCAUGUGGAUUAAUUCGAUGCAACGCGAAGAACCUUACCUGGGCUUGACAUACACCGGACCGGGCUAGAGAUAGUCCUUCCCUUGUGGCUGGUGUACAGGUGGUGCAUGGUUGUCGUCAGCUCGUGUCGUGAGAUGUUGGGUUAAGUCCCGCAACGAGCGCAACCCUUGUCUUAUGUUGCCAGCAUUUGGUUGGGGACUCAUGAGAGACUGCCGGGGUUAACUCGGAGGAAGGUGGGGAUGACGUCAAAUCAUCAUGCCCCUUAUGUCCAGGGCUUCACACAUGCUACAAUGGUCGGUACAACGCGCAGCUACUUCGUGAGGAGGCGCUAAUCGCUGAAAGCCGGCCUUAGUUCGGAUUGGGGUCUGCAACUCGACCCCAUGAAGUCGGAGUCGCUAGUAAUCGUAGAUCAGCAACGCUGCGGUGAAUACGUUCCCGGGCCU
rnacentral:rRNA from 1 species